GUGACAGUCAUCUGCAGGGGCUUGGGUGGCCCAUCAGGCGAGGCUUUCUCGGCACCCGAGGCUCCAGCCUGAUCUCGGUCUUAUCCUGCGACCGGGCUGGUUCUGGCGGGUCGCCAGGGUGGGCGGCGGCCCCAGCCGGGCGCCCCGGCGGCAAGAGCGGCAGGCUGCGCCCCUGGCCCGCGCCUAGCCUGGGGAGAGAGCUGGGCGGGCGGCGGGAGCUGCUCUCGCGGGCCGCGGCCCUCGCCCUGGCUGCAACGGCUGAGAUGGAUCUUGAGGCGGCAAAGAACGGAACAGCCUGGCGCCCCACGAGCGCGGAGGGCGACUUUGAACUGGGCAUCAGCAGCAAACAAAAAAGGAAAAAAACGAAGACAGUGAAAAUGAUUGGAGUAUUAACAUUGUUUCGAUACUCCGAUUGGCAGGAUAAAUUGUUUAUGUCGCUGGGUACCAUCAUGGCCAUAGCUCACGGAUCAGGUCUCCCCCUCAUGAUGAUAGUAUUUGGAGAGAUGACUGACAAAUUUGUUGAUACUGCAGGAAACUUCUCCUUUCCAGUGAACUUUUCCUUGUCGCUGCUAAAUCCAGGCAAAAUUCUGGAAGAAGAAAUGACUAGAUAUGCAUAUUACUACUCAGGAUUGGGUGCUGGAGUUCUUGUUGCUGCCUAUAUACAAGUUUCAUUUUGGACUUUGGCAGCUGGUCGACAGAUCAGGAAAAUUAGGCAGAAGUUUUUUCAUGCUAUUCUACGACAGGAAAUAGGAUGGUUUGACAUCAACGACACCACUGAACUCAAUACGCGGCUAACAGAUGACAUCUCCAAAAUCAGUGAAGGAAUUGGUGACAAGGUUGGAAUGUUCUUUCAAGCAGUAGCCACGUUUUUUGCAGGAUUCAUAGUGGGAUUCAUCAGAGGAUGGAAGCUCACCCUUGUGAUAAUGGCCAUCAGCCCUAUUCUAGGACUCUCUGCAGCCGUUUGGGCAAAGAUACUCUCGGCAUUUAGUGACAAAGAACUAGCUGCUUAUGCAAAAGCAGGCGCCGUGGCAGAAGAGGCUCUGGGGGCCAUCAGGACUGUGAUAGCUUUCGGGGGCCAGAACAAAGAGCUGGAAAGGUAUCAGAAACAUUUAGAAAAUGCCAAAGAGAUUGGAAUUAAAAAAGCUAUUUCAGCAAACAUUUCCAUGGGUAUUGCCUUCCUGUUAAUAUAUGCAUCAUAUGCACUGGCCUUCUGGUAUGGAUCCACUCUAGUCAUAUCAAAAGAAUAUACUAUUGGAAAUGCAAUGACAGUUUUUUUUUCAAUCCUAAUUGGAGCUUUCAGUGUUGGCCAGGCUGCCCCAUGUAUUGAUGCUUUUGCCAAUGCAAGAGGAGCAGCAUAUGUGAUCUUUGAUAUUAUUGAUAAUAAUCCUAAAAUUGACAGUUUUUCAGAGAGAGGACACAAACCAGACAGCAUCAAAGGGAAUUUGGAGUUCAAUGAUGUUCACUUUUCUUACCCUUCUCGAGCUAACGUCAAGAUCUUGAAGGGCCUCAACCUGAAGGUGCAGAGUGGGCAGACGGUGGCCCUGGUUGGAAGUAGUGGCUGUGGGAAGAGCACAACGGUCCAGCUGAUACAGAGGCUCUAUGACCCUGAUGAGGGCACAAUUAACAUUGAUGGGCAGGAUAUUAGGAACUUUAAUGUAAACUAUCUGAGGGAAAUCAUUGGUGUGGUGAGUCAGGAGCCGGUGCUGUUUUCCACCACAAUUGCUGAAAAUAUUUGUUAUGGCCGUGGAAAUGUAACCAUGGAUGAGAUAAAGAAAGCUGUCAAAGAGGCCAACGCCUAUGAGUUUAUCAUGAAAUUACCACAGAAAUUUGACACCCUGGUUGGAGAGAGAGGGGCCCAGCUGAGUGGUGGGCAGAAGCAGAGGAUCGCCAUUGCACGUGCCCUGGUUCGCAACCCCAAGAUCCUUCUGCUGGAUGAGGCCACGUCAGCAUUGGACACAGAAAGUGAAGCUGAGGUACAGGCAGCUCUGGAUAAGGCCAGAGAAGGCCGGACCACCAUUGUGAUAGCACACCGACUGUCUACGGUCCGAAAUGCAGAUGUCAUCGCUGGGUUUGAGGAUGGAGUAAUUGUGGAGCAAGGAAGCCACAGCGAACUGAUGAAGAAGGAAGGGGUGUACUUCAAACUUGUCAACAUGCAGACAUCAGGAAGCCAGAUCCAGUCAGAAGAAUUUGAACUAAAUGAUGAAAAGGCUGCCACUAGAAUGGCCCCAAAUGGCUGGAAAUCUCGCCUAUUUAGGCAUUCUACUCAGAAAAACCUUAAAAAUUCACAAAUGUGUCAGAAGAGCCUUGAUGUGGAAACCGAUGGACUUGAAGCAAAUGUGCCACCAGUGUCCUUUCUGAAGGUCCUGAAACUGAAUAAAACAGAAUGGCCCUACUUUGUCGUGGGAACAGUAUGUGCCAUUGCCAAUGGGGGGCUUCAGCCGGCAUUUUCAGUCAUAUUCUCAGAGAUCAUAGCGGGUUUCACGUUUGGGAAAGCUGGCGAGAUCCUCACCAGAAGACUGCGGUCAAUGGCUUUUAAAGCAAUGCUAAGACAGGACAUGAGCUGGUUUGAUGACCAUAAAAACAGUACUGGUGCACUUUCUACAAGACUUGCCACAGAUGCUGCCCAAGUCCAAGGAGCCACAGGAACCAGGUUGGCUUUAAUUGCACAGAAUAUAGCUAACCUUGGAACUGGUAUUAUCAUAUCAUUUAUCUACGGUUGGCAGUUAACCCUAUUGCUAUUAGCAGUUGUUCCAAUUAUUGCUGUGUCAGGAAUUGUUGAAAUGAAAUUGUUGGCUGGAAAUGCCAAAAGAGAUAAAAAAGAACUGGAAGCUGCUGGAAAGAUUGCAACAGAGGCAAUAGAAAAUAUUAGGACAGUUGUGUCUUUGACCCAGGAAAGAAAAUUUGAAUCAAUGUAUGUUGAAAAAUUGUAUGGACCUUACAGGAAUUCUGUGCAGAAGGCACACAUCUAUGGAAUUACUUUUAGUAUCUCACAAGCAUUUAUGUAUUUUUCCUAUGCCGGUUGUUUUCGAUUUGGUGCAUAUCUCAUUGUGAAUGGACAUAUGCGCUUCAGAGAUGUUAUUCUGGUGUUUUCUGCAAUUGUAUUUGGUGCAGUGGCUCUAGGACAUGCCAGUUCAUUUGCUCCAGACUAUGCUAAAGCUAAGCUGUCUGCAGCCCACUUAUUCAUGCUGUUUGAAAGACAACCUCUGAUUGACAGCUACAGUGAAGAGGGGCUGAAGCCUGAUAAAUUUGAAGGAAAUAUAACAUUUAAUGAAGUCGUGUUCAACUAUCCCACCCGAGCAAACGUGCCAGUGCUUCAGGGGCUGAGCCUGGAGGUGAAGAAAGGCCAGACACUAGCCCUGGUGGGCAGCAGUGGCUGUGGGAAGAGCACGGUGGUCCAGCUCCUGGAGCGGUUCUACGACCCCUUGGCGGGGACAGUGUUUGUGGACUUUGGUUUUCAGCUUCUCGAUGGUCAAGAAGCAAAGAAACUCAAUGUCCAGUGGCUCAGAGCUCAACUCGGAAUCGUGUCUCAGGAGCCUAUCCUAUUUGACUGCAGCAUUGCCGAGAAUAUUGCCUAUGGAGACAACAGCCGGGUUGUAUCACAGGAUGAAAUUGUGAGUGCAGCCAAAGCUGCCAACAUACAUCCUUUCAUCGAGACGUUACCCCACAAAUAUGAAACAAGAGUGGGAGAUAAGGGGACUCAGCUCUCAGGAGGUCAAAAACAGAGGAUUGCUAUUGCCCGAGCCCUCAUCAGACAACCUCAAAUCCUCCUGUUGGAUGAAGCUACAUCAGCUCUGGAUACUGAAAGUGAAAAGGUUGUCCAAGAAGCCCUGGACAAAGCCAGAGAAGGCCGCACCUGCAUUGUGAUUGCUCACCGCCUGUCCACCAUCCAGAAUGCAGACUUAAUAGUGGUGUUUCAGAAUGGGAGAGUCAAGGAGCAUGGCACGCAUCAGCAGCUGCUGGCACAGAAAGGCAUCUAUUUUUCAAUGAUCAAUUUAGAAGACCCAAUUUGGGGUUUAUUACGGCAUUUGAAAUUUGAGAGUUAGAAGUGACACCUGUCUUGAUGAAGUAUUGAAACAACAGGCUAGCUCUCCCUAAGUUAUUAGAAACAUCCAGAAAAAGAACAAAAUUCAAGCUCUAACUACCAGUUUACAAGACAUACAGGAGACUGAGCAACAUGUUAAAUAUCACCAUGGGAAUACAAUCAGGAAAAUUCAGAAAACUCUACAGGAUAAAUGACCCAGUUUCUUCAUCAAAUCAAAUACAAUAAGAGAAAGGCAACCAAGCACCACUUUGUAGUGGUUUGAAUGAGACUGAUUCUACCCACUAGAUUCCAAGGUUGGGCAUGUGACCCAGGCCAAGCUCAUCCAAGCACCUGAUUCCCCAGGAUGGGGACAUGAAUCACACAGGCCAAUCACAACUGAUGAGGAUUAUUCCAGGACUUUUGCUGUAACCAUUGGAAACAAAGAAGCUGACUAUUUCCUUUGGGAGUCUAUGAAGAAAGCUAUGAAGAUAUGAGACUGUUGGUACAACAAUCACAUUGGGCAGUCUACCUAAAUAUGAGGCCAAACAAAAGAAAGCAGUACCAAAAAAUGGGGAGAGAUUUCUAAUGAAAGCAUUUGAACAUUGAAGUCAGCUUUACCCAAAUUUAGCUAACUCCUUGCCAACAAAUAUCUUCUUACGCUAACGCUAGUUUGAUUUAGGUUUCUAUCACCUAAACCUGAAUAUGGAUUAAUACAACUACUGAACCCUUUUUUUUUUUUUUUUGGAGUCGGAGUCUCAGUCUGUUUCCCAGGCUGAAGUGCACUGGCCCAAACACUGUUCACUGCACCCUCAACCUCCCAGGUUCAAGCGAUCCUCCUAGACCUCAGCCUCCCAAGUAGCUGGGAUCACAGGCGCACAACACCAUGUGAGGCUAAUUUUUGUAUUUUUUGUAGAGACGGGGUUUCAUGCCAUUGCCCAGACCAGUCUCCAUCUCCUGGGCUCAAGUGAUUCACCUGCCUUGGCCUCCCAAAGUGCUGGGAUUACAGGUAUCAGCCAUCAUACCCAGCCCCAAACCCCUUUAUAAAAAAUUUUCUUGGUUCAUAGACCUCCUGAAUGCCUAUCAGACAGUUAGUAGACAGCUAGUGAAGAUGUCCAUGGGAGGGGAACAGAGGAGAAGCAAGAAAAGUUGUUCAUUUUUUAUGAAAAUGGUCAAAAUGGUAGUAACUGCCAUUUUAAUAUCCACAGCCUAAAUAGUGUUCCAAAGAUUAUGUGUCAUUUUAGGAAAAUAGUUACCUAGUUACUAGGUGAAUCUUGAACUCUAUAAAUAUAUCCAUAUGCAUUGCUCUGCAUAGAACACAUACAUAAUGCCAUAUAAUACCUUUUGAAAUAGGUAUUCUCAGCAAGCAGAUAAUACUGGGUUUUAAGAGCUUAUAUUACAUAAAUAUUAUAUGCAAAUCCCAUUUUGCAGAUAUAGUACACAACAAACUGUUGGCCUUACUACAGAAGAAAAUAACUUGUCCUAUACUUUCAAUGAGAAUUCAUAACUAAACUUUUCACCACAGUGCCAUAAAACUAAAUUACUAUUCACUUACACUGUUCCCCAGCACAAGUAUUUAUGGUUUAUUGUCAUUAAUUUAACCUAAAAGAUCAAAAGAGAAAAAUUUCAGUAGUUUACUUACAUCACAAUUACAGCCAAAUACUCCAUUAGAAAAGGAAAUCAAGUUAUAGGAUUUGUCACCCCAGCGUACUGUUGGAUCUCCAAUAAGGAUGGCUGCAAUAAUCUAAAAUAAAUUUAAUUUUUCCAAAUUAAAAGGGUUUAAUAUUGGUUUGUAAGAAUUUACAUCUUAAACACAUAUAUCAUCUCACCAUUCCUCUUCACGUCAACCAAAUUUAAUAAAAUCAUAAUAUAGUUAUGAUCAGCAACACUGAUAUGUGAUAUGCAAAGUCAAGAGAGAGUAAUUCUGGCCCUGACUUUAGGGGCUUCUCAAAAUCUCAAGUUAAGAAAAUCCUACCAGAAAAGAAAAUGCUGGUACAAUAUUCAUGAAUGUUUACAGAACAUAGAAUUGAGAGGAUAAGGGUUUUGUAACUUGAAUAGGAUAAAAGAUCUUGAUAAAAGUUUAGUCAUUAAAGUCUAGUUAGGAGGAAAUAUUUUAAGAAUUCGUUUCCUACUAAACCUGUUUUUCAAACUGUAUACUUUGGCCUAUUAAUGGAUCAUGAAAUUAACUCAGUGCAUCAUAAUCAAUAUUCCUUACAAAAAAGGAGAAUAAAAUAGACUGGAAAUAUCAGUGUACCUCACAGACAAUAAAAGUAAUUAGUGCUCUGUGAAACUCCUAUUUUAUAUAUGUGUUUGCAUGCAUAUACACAUGUAUAUAUAGUGGGCUGCAAUCUAAAUGUAUUUGUAACUAAAAAUUGUGGUCAAAAAACUUUGAACAACACUGCAUUAAAAUACAUUCUUCCUUAAAAAGAAGUCUGGUGAUUCUCAAAAAAAAAAAAAAAUCUCUCUCCUUGCUACAAGGUUUUCCAAUCCUUGAUAUUUUUUCCUAUUAUUUAAUACCGAUUAAUUCACUAUAAAAUAAUUAAGUAUUUUCAAAAGACUAUGAGAUUUCUAAUACAAUUACUAUCUUUUAUUAUUUCCUGGGACACAAAUGUCACCCUGGGGGUGGCAGGGGAGCAUAAAAUAAGGCCAUAUUUACCCUUAACGUCACUGACAUCAAUGUGUUCAGCAAUUAACCAAAUGAUAAAAUAAAUGACUUACAAGGGUGACAUAAUUCUUAGGAGACACAGUCCCAACUAUGGUGUCAAGAUACACUAGUGCAGGUUAUGAUUAGGUUAUCAUUUCACCUUUGGCAAGAAAAGCUCAUUAACCUAGUGCUCUGUGUAAAUUUUCUGAGUAGGCAAGCAAUGAAAAGGUUGAGCAACACUGAUAUGUGAUAUGCAAAGUCAUACUUCUUUAAACAAAGUAUAAUAUAUAGCUAAACAAACUUAAACAAUGUGGCAAGGAUUUACCAAUUUACUAUCUACUUUAUAAGCUUCAAUUUGGCACAAGUAUAUUGUAUAACUAAGAAAAAGUUUCAAGAGCCUAAAGGUAGAAAAAGAAAAAAAACUUCCAUGUUCAAUAAAUAUGAGUCUUCCAGAAAAAUCUGCAAUAAAAAAAAAAAGAGAAGGUAGUUAAGUACCUCAGAAUAAUCCUCUGGUGUUACAUGUGGACUGCUAUCCUCCAUGGAAUAUACCAGUAAACUACUCUGAAUUUUUUCUAACAAAGCCAAGUUCUCUGGAUCAAGACCAAUCAGAUAUUCUCGUGCCUAAAGGGCAAGGAGAUGAUGAUCAAAUAUUACAACUGAAAUACAAUACAUCAAAAGAGUUUGUUAGAGAAAAGCUUCGUUAAGAAAAGUGUAAAUCAGAACCUUAGCCCAUCGAGUUCGCUCCUCACUAGUUAAUGCUGCAAUCCCAGGUCCAUCAGGUUCACUAUGGCACUUCUUGUGGAUAUAUGUCAGUUGUCUUAUGGAAGAUGAAAAGAAGAUUAAAAAAGAGUACAGGCAGAAAGUAACUACUUUGGCCUUUAAAAGGUCAUAACAUUGAUCAAUAUUUAAAUGUUUGGAUAUAUUACCCAAAGAAACCACUUAUGAUGCCAAUAGAUUUCCUACAUCACAUAUUUUUUUAAGUGAUUGUGUUCUAUUAACACCAAAAGCAUAUUUGACAAUAAUUUAAUUUCAGUAAAUAAAUUUAGUUAUUGGCUAAAUUUAGUUUCGCUGAUAUAUACUUUGGAAAUGUGCAUGCACUUCUAGGUUGCAAGUAAAUAUCCUUUUUACUGUAAAUAUCCUUACAAUGGAGAACUUGAAAAAUAUCCUGGUAAUCAAUUUCACAAAUAUAAUGUACAUCUUAUCUAACUAAAAUCUAUGUGCGUAUAUAUUUAACCAGAGGACUUACUGUAUACUCAAUUAAUAUUUGUGUUUUACCAAAAAAAAAUAGAAAUACCAUAUAAUCAGUUUUAACUAUUUUCAUAUGUGCCACUUUGUUACUUCUAAUCAUUAUAUUUUUAAAGACUCUAUUAGCUAAGGAUAAACUACUCCCCCUCCACAGUAUUUUAUGCUCCUAGAUUGGUGAAUUUCAUGUAUCUUUAAACAUACAGCAGAUAAAUAACUGGGUUCUCCCAUAAAGAAAUUUACAUCAGUCAAAAAUCCACAGAGCUUUAAUUUAGCUCAAUUUCAUGGCACAUGUUAAGAAAUUACUUCAAUUUAAAAGCUUUCAAGGAUUUCUCAGGAAGUGAGCUAAUGUAGCUUAAUAAAUGGUCAAAAAAUGCUACUAGUAGCCAUCAGUUCUGACUUCAUCAUUCAAAAUUGGAAUUCAUCAUUUAUCUACUGAUUUGCAUACUCUCCUCUGUUUGUUCAUUAUAUCUGUAACACUGAUAAAGAAAUACAUUUCUUGCUGAAAAAUUCCCCCCUUGUUAUUUGCAAAUUAAUGGUGUCCUGAGGAACAGAAUAAGGGUUUCUUCACCAAUCUGCAUCUAUAGCAGAGCAACUUGCUUUGCCUCUCUUCCUGCUUACUUUCUUUAGUAACUACUGAUUUUGCUCCAAUUAUAAGUAAAGCUUUUGCAGUUGUGGUUACUAGCAUAAACUCUGAAUUUCUAAAUAAAAUCAACCUGUUUCUCUCCA